GACGAACGCUGGCGGCGUGCUUAACACAUGCAAGUCGAACGGAAAGGCCCUGCUUUUGUGGGGUGCUCGAGUGGCGAACGGGUGAGUAACACGUGAGUAACCUGCCCUUGACUUUGGGAUAACUUCAGGAAACUGGGGCUAAUACCGGAUAGGAGCUCCUGCUGCAUGGUGGGGGUUGGAAAGUUUCGGCGGUUGGGGAUGGACUCGCGGCUUAUCAGCUUGUUGGUGGGGUAGUGGCUUACCAAGGCUUUGACGGGUAGCCGGCCUGAGAGGGUGACCGGCCACAUUGGGCCUGAGAUACGGCCCAGACUCCUACGGGAGGCAGCAGUGGGGGAUAUUGCACAAUGGGCGGAAGCCUGAUGCAGCAACGCCGCGUGCGGGAUGACGGCCUUCGGGUUGUAAACCGCUUUCGCCUGUGACGAAGCGUGAGUGACGGUAAUGGGUAAAGAAGCACCGGCUAACUACGUG
rnacentral:rRNA from 1 species